rnacentral:rRNA from 1 species
AACGACGCUGGCGGCGCGGUUUAAGCAUGCAAGUCGAGCGGCAAGGGUAGCAAUACCCCUAGAGCGGCGGACGGGUGAGUAACACGUGGAUAACCUGCCCUUUGGAGAGGGAUAGGCCAGGGAAACCUGGAUUAAAUACCUUAUAAGAGCUCUCAUAGGAGUAUGAGAGGGGAAAGGCGCUUCGGCGCCGCCGGAGGAUGGGUCCGCGUCCCAUUAGCUGGAUGGCAGGGUAAGAGCCUACCAUGGCGACGAUGGGUAGCCGGCCUGAGAGGGUGAACGGCCACACUGGAACUGAGACACGGUCCAGACUCCUACGGGAGGCAGCAGCUAAGAAUCUUCCGCAAUGGGCGCAAGCCUGACGGAGCGACGCCGCGUGGGCGAAGAAGGCCGCAAGGUUGUAAAGUCCUUUUCGGGAAGAUGAAUAAGGAGAGCAUGCAAUGGUUUUCCGAUGACAUGAAUCCCGGAAUAAGCCCCGGCUAACUACGUG